CCCAGACUCCUACGGGAGGCAGCAGUGGGGAAUAUUGCACAAUGGGGGAAACCCUGAUGCAGCGACGCCGCGUGAGCGACGAAGUAUUUCGGUAUGUAAAGCUCUAUCAGCAGGGAAGAAAAUGACGGUACCUGACUAAGAAGCCCCGGCUAACUACGUGCCAGCAGCCGCGGUAAUACGUAGGGGGCAAGCGUUAUCCGGAUUUACUGGGUGUAAAGGGAGCGUAGACGGUCCUGCAAGCCAGAUGUGAAAGCCCGGGGCUCAACCCCGGGACUGCAUUUGGAACUGUAAGGCUAGAGUGUCGGAGAGGCAGGCGGAAUUCCUAGUGUAGCGGUGAAAUGCGUAGAUAUACGGAGGAACACCAGUGGCGAAGGCGGCCUGCUGGACAUUAACUGACGCUGAGGCGCGAAAGCGUGGGGAGCAAACAGGAUUAGAUACCCCCGUACAC
rnacentral:rRNA from 1 species